rnacentral:rRNA from 1 species
UACGGAGGGUGCAAGCGUUAAUCGGAAUUACUGGGCGUAAAGCGCACGCAGGCGGUUUGUUAAGUCAGAUGUGAAAUCCCCGGGCUCAACCUGGGAACUGCAUCUGAUACUGGCAAGCUUGAGUCUCGUAGAGGGGGGUAGAAUUCCAGGUGUAGCGGUGAAAUGCGUAGAGAUCUGGAGGAAUACCGGUGGCGAAGGCGGCCCCCUGGACGAAGACUGACGCUCAGGUGCGAAAGCGUGGGGAGCAAACAGGAUUAGAUACCCUGGUAGUCCACGCCGUAAACGAUGUCGACUUGGAGGUUGUGCCCUUGAGGCGUGGCUUCCGGAGCUAACGCGUUAAGUCGACCGCCUGGGGAGUACGGCCGCAAGGUUAAAACUCAAAU